rnacentral:rRNA from 1 species
UACGGAGGAUGCAAGCGUUAUCCGGAAUGAUUGGGCGUAAAGCGUCCGCAGGUGGCAAUGUAAGUCUGCUGUUAAAGAGUCUAGCUCAACUAGAUAAGAGCAGUGGAAACUACAUAGCUAGAGUACGUUCGGGGCAGAGGGAAUUCCUGGUGUAGCGGUGAAAUGCGUAGAGAUCAGGAAGAACACCGGUGGCGAAAGCGCUCUGCUGGACCUAAACUGACACUGAGGGACGAAAGCUAGGGGAGCGAAUGGG